UUCGGAGGGGGCGAGCGUUAUUCGGAAUUAUUGGGCGUAAAUGGCUCGUCGGCGGCCAACUAAGUCCGACGUGAAAUCCCAAAGCUUAACUUUGGAACUGCGUCGGAUACUGGAUGGCUUGAAUUCGGGAGAGGGAUGCAGAAUUCCAGGUGUAGCGGUGAAAUGCGUAGAUAUCUGGAGGAAUACCGGUGGCGAAGGCAGAUCUCUGGGCCGUAACUGACGCUGAGGAGCGAAAGCGUGGGGAGCGAACAGG
rnacentral:rRNA from 1 species